CCUUAGCCGCUAGAGCUACAGGCACAGGGCCUAGAGCCUUUUUCAAAAGAAUAAAAAAGGACUUUGUCAUUAGCUUGACUUGGGUCUGUGAGGUCUUUCUUACCUGCUGCUGGGUCCUAAGCCCACCCAGGACCUGCUAUCUCUCUGACAACAGGGAAUGCUGCUGGGUGCUGUCUCUGGGAGCCUUCCCAGCAAAGUUUUUCUAUGUCAGGGGCAGGCAGGCAUGGAGGAGCACCUACCUAGUCCAGCAAGGUUACUCUUCAACUAGAAGGACACCUAAACCCUAACCUCCAGGGAAGAUGGGCCUGACCAGCCCUCAGCAGGGGAGCCCAGACAUCAUACAGGGCUGCCUUUAGCUGGGCUUGCUACCUUAGGGACCACAAACCCCUGCCCUUUCGGCCUGUCAGAACAUUUCUAUGCCCCCCCCCUUUUUUUUCUUGAGAUGGUGUCUUUCUCUGAAGUGCAAUGGCUCAAUCACAGUUCACUGCAGCCUUGAAUCCUGGCCUCAAGUGAUCCUCCCUUCACUCCUGGCCUUGGGAGCCCUUUUGAGGGCUUCUGGGCCCAACCUUUGACUUCAGAUGUGGCAUGUUGGGGCUAGAUGUUUGGGCUUGACCACCAGUGGUUUAAGUGAAGGCCAGGUGCUACUGGGCUCUGAUCCAUUCACCACAUCCCCACACCAGGGCCUGCCUUCCCCACUUUUCCCAUUCUAACUCACCUGCCUGGUCCUGCCCCAUCCUUCCUUUAGAACACACGUCCUCUGGCAGCAGGCCCCCCCAGCACCCUGUCUGCUGCUGGAGUGUGUGAAUGAUCAUAAGCAAGGCCACUAGCAGAAGCCAGGGCACACUGUGGGCUGCACAAACUGGGACCACACUAGCCCUGAAGGACAUGCUCUGGUUGGUGGGGGUGCAAUGGGAGUUGGGAGGGCAGUCAGUGAGGUAUCAGGUUGGCCAAUGAGGGCUCUUCCCAGGGUCCAUGCUCAGGCCUGGACUCCCUGGACAUGGCUAAUCCGGGGUCUGGGCAGCUCCUUCCAUACUUCAUACCAAUCCCCCCUCCCUCUCAAGCCUUGUUCUUCUCACAAGUCUAGCCCAGCCCUUCAGAAGAGGCAGCUGGGGAAGAUAGGUGGGGCUGUGUCCUUCAGCAUUACUGAGGACAGGAUACAGGGCCAAGGAGCCACGUGAGAGGAGGGACAGCCUGGCUACUCCUGGAUCAGAAGCUUCCCUGAGGGUUCUCAGCAGGCUUGGGGGGCCCGGGCAGCCACACAGGCCCAUAGGGCCCUGGCGCUGGCACAGCCAGGAGAACAGACUAAGGUCCUGGUGGCAGCACCCUCUCAGCCUGGUGCAUGUCUCUUCAGGUGGUGGUGGGGAGACCUGUGGCUUUCUCCCUGUAGAUGGCCAGGAGCAGCUCUGCACAGAGGUCUCUUGGGACCUGGUCUCUGAGCAGCCCUUGGGCUGGGAGGAAGGAACCCGGAGGCAAAGAUCAGUGGGAGGUGGGAACCCUGGGUUUCUACCUCUGCUCUGACGAGUCCAGGCUUUUGGGCCUCUAGCUCCCAAGAGGUCACACAUUGUCUCUGGGGCACUGGCUCUGUGGGGUCUUGGGCAGAAACCACUGCUCUACCCACACUGCCUGGGAUUAUGGAGGUAAGUGCUCCCUUACGUGGGAUGACUUAGCCAAGCUGGGCCUCCCUCCCCUAUCUCCUUCAUCCUGCCCUUGGAUUGGUAAGUGGCUGCCCCUCCAAGGCACUAGGGGUGCACCUCACACCCUGGGUGGGACAUGGAGUUGAGUACAACCAAUGCUCCCAUCCCUUGGGGUGGAAGGGAUUCCCAGGACAUCAUGUCUCUUCCCAUAUCCAAGGCCCAGUCCCAAGAUCCAAGCUAGGAGUGACCCCUUAGACUGGUCCAGGCCUCUCCAAAGCCUUAGCACAGCCUCCCGGAAAGUAAGUGGAAAAUCCUUGCUUCCUACGUCUAUACCCAGCACCCUGCAGCACGGAAACCUCCACAGCGCCUAUCAAAGGUAGAGCCCACCAUGCUCCCAGGAAGGGGCUGGCACAGCGCCAGUCACCCGCAAGGCCCGUGGGUCAAAGCCUCGCCCACAGUCUUACCUGGCCUCAGGCAGCGGCUGGCCUUCCCCGGCCCCAGGGCUUUCACCAACCUUGGCUUAAGGCCACGUGGGGUGGAGCGGUGGCUUCUGCCGGCUCCACCCCUGCUUCACGGCGCCCGCCCGGGCCAGUUUCCCAAAGGGCCAGAACGCCGCCUCUGCCGAGUGCCCCUGGGUCUGCCGGAACCGUGCGGGCCCUUUAAGGGCUGGGGGCGUGUAGCGGGCCCGCCCCCUCCCCGUAGCGCCGGCCGCGGGUUAAAUGCGACCCCAGGCAGAGCGCACCGGAGCUGGUUGCGGGUGUGUGUCCCAGGAAGCACGAGGCGCGUCCCCCACACGCGGAAGCCGGCGCGCCAUGUACACCCUCACCAAGGGGCCCAGCAAGCUGGUCGCGCAGCGUCGCACAGGUCCCACGCAGCAGCAGGUGGAGAGCAGGCUCGGCGAGCUUUUGAAAUGCCGGCAGCCCACGCCGCCGACCGCGCCACCCCCGCAGGAGCAACCCUUCGUGCAGCCGCCGGGACCCUGGCCCCUGUCGAGCAUGGAGGACCCUGCGGAUGGGUUUUCGCCGACCAGCUCCUGUAUCACAAGCGCCCUGAGCGACCUUGGGCUACGCGCUUGCAUCCCUUUGGGGCACACCCAGGUCAAGUGCCCCUCUCACCUGAGGAGGAACCCAGAGCGGCGGUGGGGCACCUGAACCCAGGAAAGCAAGCAGGCCGGCCGGGACCGCGAGUGCCUGGCGGAGUGGCAGGCGCAGCUCAGGACUCCCGGCUCCCACCUCCUGUUAUAGUCCGGGGCCAAGGCUUGUGUUCAAUCGUGUGAACGGCCGGCGGCCCCCUGCCACGUCCCCAUCUCUUGAGGGGACCCAGGAGACCUACACACUGGCCCACGAGGAGAACGUCCGCUUUGUGUCCGAAGCCUGGCAGCAGGUGAAACAGCAGCUGGAUGGUGGCCCAGCCGGUGAGAGUGGGCCGCGGCCUGUGCAGUACGUGGAGAGGACCCCCAAUCCCCGGCUACAGA